GGGGAUGUAAAGGUUUCGACGGGGGUGUAGAAGCCUGAUAAGCGAGCCGCAGUUUGCCAAGUCUGCGUUAAAAAUGGCACGUUAAAUAUAAACGCUAAAAAUAAUAACAAUUACGCAUUAGCUGCAUAGUUCAGCGCCGCGCACAGCGGUAGCGUCGUCGGCCUGCAUUCACCCGUAGGUGCAGAAUCCGGCGUCGACAUACGGGAAAACUCUGUGUGAGCUCCUAGUAGCACGGAGGACUUAUAGGAUAGCUAAUUUAAGAGCCUGCCAACGGGCGCUUAAAGAGGCGAAGCAAUAAAACAUUGGCUGCGCUCGGAGAAAUUCAUGUGGAAAUGCUUUCGGACAGGAGUUCGACUCUCCUCAUCUCCACCA
rnacentral:tmRNA from 1 species